UACGUAGGGUGCAAGCGUUGUCCGGAAUUAUUGGGCGUAAAGAGCUCGUAGGCGGCCUGUCGCGUCGGCUGUGAAAACCCGGGGCUCAACCCCGGGCCUGCAGUCGAUACGGGCAGACUGGAGGUAUGCAGGGGAGAACGGAAUUCCUGGUGUAGCGGUGAAAUGCGCAGAUAUCAGGAGGAACACCGGUGGCGAAGGCGGCUUUCUGGGACGGUACUGACGCUGAGACGCGAAAGCGUGGGGAGCGAACAGG
rnacentral:rRNA from 1 species